rnacentral:rRNA from 1 species
CGCCAGACUCCUACGGGAGGCAGCAGUGGGGAAUAUUGCACAAUGGGGGAAACCCUGAUGCAGCGACGCCGCGUGAGUGAGGAAGUAUUUCGGUAUGUAAAGCUCUAUCAGCAGGGAAGAAAAUGACGGUACCUGACUAAGAAGCCCCGGCUAACUACGUGCCAGCAGCCGCGGUAAUACGUAGGGGGCAAGCGUUAUCCGGAUUUACUGGGUGUAAAGGGAGCGUAGACGGUAUGGCAAGUCUGAAGUGAAAGCCCCGGGCUCAACCUGGGAACUGCUUUGGAAACUGUUAAACUAGAGUGCUGGAGAGGCAGGCGGAAUUCCUAGUGUAGCGGUGAAAUGCGUAGAUAUUAGGAGGAACACCAGUGGCGAAGGCGGCCUGCUGGACAGUAACUGACGUUGAGGCUCGAAAGCGUGGGGAGCAAACAGGAUUAGAUACCCGUGUA